rnacentral:rRNA from 1 species
ACGCACGCUGGCGGCGUGCUUAACACAUGCAAGUCGAACGGAAAGGCCCUGCUUUUGUGGGGUGCUCGAGUGGCGAACGGGUGAGUAACACGUGAGUAACCUGCCCUUGACUUUGGGAUAACUUCAGGAAACUGGGGCUAAUACCGGAUAGGAGCUCCUGCUGCAUGGUGGGGGUUGGAAAGUUUCGGCGGUUGGGGAUGGACUCGCGGCUUAUCAGCUUGUUGGUGGGGUAGUGGCUUACCAAGGCUUUGACGGGUAGCCGGCCUGAGAGGGUGACCGGCCACAUUGGGACUGAGAUACGGCCCAGACUCCUACGGGAGGCAGCAGUGGGGAAUAUUGCACAAUGGGCGGAAGUCUGAUGCAGCAACGCCGCGUGCGGGAUGACGGCCUUCGGGUUGUAAACCGCUUUCGCCUGUGACGAAGCGUGAGUGACGGUAAUGGGUAAAGAAGCACCGGCUAACUACGUG